rnacentral:sRNA from 1 species
GCUGGUCGUGGUGAUGCCUGCCUGUAGUCCCAGCAACUUGGGAGGCUGAGGCAGGAGGAUUGCAAGUUCAAGGCCAGCUUCAGCAACUUAGUGAAACUCUGUCUCUA